GGAUUUCAUGGCGUGAGUGAUUUGUUUGUUUCAUGGCGUGAGUGAUUUGUUUGUUUCUUGUUGAUGUCCGGGGUGUGUACGGGAUGCUUUUGAUGUUUGUUUGUUAUGUUAAUGUGCGCAAUGAAAUUGAUAACGUUUUAUUUACAUGUUUUGCUAAAGAUCACUUAAUAUUUACAGUAUAAUAAUAGCUGCUUAUUUGUAGAUUUCUCUAAAAUAAGAGGUUUCGGGAAGUGAUGAAGGCACCUAGACACCGGUCUUGAGACAUGGGUCCUCAUACGUCCCCCUGCCAUUAAAAGAAAAAGAAAUACAAGAAGAAUGAGCAGUAGGGUUGCGUAUCCCGCUCGCGGUUUUACCUGAAUCGUUUAUUACUACCGAUUAUUGUAUUGGGUUUCUUUAGACAUCUGAACAAAGAUGUUACACCGUUUACAGUCGUCUCGAGACUCAUCAACUGAGCGGUGGCUUUAAUGUCGAUUUCCGUUGCACAUGGAACACAUACGGGCGUCAGAAGAAUUGUUUUUUGCAUUUAUAUGUCGAAAGUCCUGUCAAAUACAAGCACUCACU